rnacentral:rRNA from 1 species
CAGUAGCCGCGGGAAAACCAGCACCUCGAGUGGUCAGGAGGUUUAUUGGGCCUAAAGCAUCCGUAGCCGGUUGCAUAAGUUUUCGGUUAAAUCUAUGCGCUUAACGUAUAGGCCGCCGAAAAUACUGUGCAGCUAGGGAGUGGGAGAGGUACACGGUACUCGAUAGGAAGGGGUAAAAUCCUUUGAUCUAUUGAUGACCACCUGUGGCGAAGGCGGUGUACCAGAACACGUUCGACGGUGAGGGAUGAAAGCUGGGGGAGCAAACCGGAUUAGAGACCCCCGUAGUCCCUGUCUCUUAUAC